rnacentral:rRNA from 1 species
UCACGAAAGUGAGCUGUACUAGAAGUCGCCGUGCCAACCGCAAGGAGGCAAGCGCCCAAGGUAUGACUCAUGAUUGGGGUG